rnacentral:miRNA from 1 species
UUGAAUUUCAAAUUCAAAUAAACAAUGAUUUAUUUUUUUAGUAUAAGUAUGUCCCAUGCAAUAUUUGGAACAUACUUAUACUAAAAAAAUAUUAUUUAUCUGAAACUCAGAUCUAACUGG